CUACAAGACUCUUGAGGAUAUUUCAAACCGUUGGUAAAUGAUAAAACAUAGCAGAAUAAAUGCGUGUAUUUUUAUUUGAAAACUGCUUAAAACCUUGGCAUUUUUUGACAUCCCAAAUCAUUGGAGCGAAGCAUUGUUCGAUUUGAUUUGCAUAAGCAUCGUCACAGCUGCAGUGGAGAUGCCUAUUGAUCAAUGGCCCCCCUCCCUUUUUGAGUGUGUCAAUCAAUUCGAUGGCGUUGCCCAUUCUCACACGAGAACACGCCCCAUUUUUAUUCGUGGAAAUGUUCGAUAAUCGCGUAGUUAAAAAUGAUUCAUCAAGUUAACCAACCCCAAUAAAGGAUUAAAAAUAGAAUUUCCUUGAGGUGAGAUGACAGGUGUGUAACAACUGUUAUACUACGUUUACGGUAGAGAGACCACAAGAUGCACAAGGUUGAAGGCGGGUCAAGGACGCACCUCUCCUCAACCCACUCACCUUCCUUAAAAUUCCAGACUACCUUGUAUUAGUAGUACACCCCCGCAUCAGGUAUAUACAUAAGCCCUUUUGUAUAAAUCAACUCGAGCCUAUUGAAAGAUGGCAGACGACCGGUGGCGAUCUAAAGGUAAAAAAUAAGAUAUCGAUCGGCGCUGGCUGGUGUCCCAAAUACAAUUAUUGAUCUGCGUCUCAUGAA